rnacentral:rRNA from 1 species
AGUGAACGCUGGCGGUAGGCCUAACACAUGCAAGUCGAACGGCAGCACAGUAAGAGCUUGCUCUUGCGGGUGGCGAGUGGCGGACGGGUGGGGAAUACAUCGGAAUCUACUUUUUCGUGGGGGAUAACGUAGGGAAACUUACGCUAAUACCGCAUACGACCUACGGGUGAAAGCAGGGGAUCUUCGGACCUUGCGCGAUUGAAUGAGCCGAUGUCGGAUUAGCUAGUUGGCGGGGUAAAGGCCCACCAAGGCGACGAUCCGUAGCUGGUCUGAGAGGAUGAUCAGCCACACUGGAACUGAGACACGGUCCAGACUCCUACGGGAGGCAGCAGUGGGGAAUAUUGGACAAUGGGCGCAAGCCUGAUCCAGCCAUACCGCGUGGGUGAAGAAGGCCUUCGGGUUGUAAAGCCCUUUUGUUGGGAAAGAAAAGCAGCAGGUUAAUACCCCGCUGUUCUGACGGUACCCAAAGAAUAAGCACCGGCUAACUUCGUG